rnacentral:rRNA from 1 species
AAAUUGAAGAGUUUGAUCAUGGCUCAGAUUGAACGCUGGCGGCAGGCCUAACACAUGCAAGUCGAACGGUAGCACAGAGAGCUUGCUCUCGGGUGACGAGUGGCGGACGGGUGAGUAAUGUCUGGGAAACUGCCUGAUGGAGGGGGAUAACUACUGGAAACGGUGGCUAAUACCGCAUAACGUCGCAAGACCAAAGAGGGGGACCUUCGGGCCUCUUGCCAUCAGAUGUGCCCAGAUGGGAUUAGCUUGUUGGUGAGGUAACGGCUCACCAAAGCGACGAUCCCUAGCUGGUCUGAGAGGAUGACCAGCCACACUGGAACUGAGACACGGUCCAGACUCCUACGGGAGGCAGCAGUGGGGAAUAUUGCACAAUGGGCGCAAGCCUGAUGCAGCCAUGCCGCGUGUAUGAAGAAGGCCUUCGGGUUGUAAAGUACUUUCAGCGGGGAGGAAGGUGUUGUGGUUAAUAACC